AGAUGUUGCUGAUCAUGAAAUCCUGGUGCAGGAGAGUCAUUACUCCAAGUCCCUCCUAAUGUAAACUUUAAUUCACAGCUUAAAAAAGGGCCCAGCAUGAAACUCAGCUCCUGUUAAGGAAUGCCUGUAUUUCAUGCCAUGCGGGUAGCUGUGACAUGCAAAGGCUGAACCAACAUCUCUCUGGCCUGCCCUGCUGAGUGUGCAGUGAGACCGUCCUUGAGGAUACCUCUGAGAGACAGACCAGCAUGGGCUGAGGCAGACUGGGAGCUGUGGUCACUCUACUGGAGCCUUUACGUCUGUUUCUUCUUGGUGGUAUUUCCCCUCCUAUCAAAAUGAACCUCCAUCCCUGGGGAUUCCCAGAACUUGACAAGACCCUCAAAAACCUGAUCUAACUUAGAAGGCAGCCCUGCUUUGAGUAGGGGAGGUGAACUAGAUACCUUCCAAGGUCCCUUCUUACAUAAAUCAUUCCAUGACUCUAUUCAUGCUCCAUACCUAAAGACUGACAAGGCCCUGAGUGAAUCAAAAAGCUCUAAAUGCCAUCAUCGGCCUCUAACCACCUUCAUCUGUGAUUCCCCCACUGCAACCCCUUCCUCACACCCAGGAGUCCGUCUGUCUGUGUUUAAGGUUAGCUCUGAUUUGGUACAGCUGGGUGGCCUUAGACCAGUCUACUGUGAAAACAGCUGAUUCGUGGGAGAGAACAGCAAGAAGCCUCAUCUGGGGCCUCCCAACAGUGACUCAGGCUUUUGCCUUUGGUCCAUGCCUGAGCUGUGUCGUAGGCAUGCUAUGCCCAGCCCCGUGUCUUGCUUUUAUCAUGCUGACUUGACUUGCCGGCUUGAUCUUGGGCUUGCCUCAUCGCUACAGACUCGCCUGGUGAUCACUGGACUGUGGAUGACUCUGGUUCCUGUCACUGGACCUGCUCUGCUCUUCUUGCCCAGAUACGCUACUGCAGAUUACACUUGCUAAGCUUUCAAAGAGGGAGAUGCCAGUGCCAGAGGUCAAGUGGUCGCUUUUCUGCUUCCUUACACUUCAGAGUAAACCCGGAUCAUUCUUUUAAAUCAGGCACUCAUGUUUUCCUUACCUGCUUCUGCUGAGCUGAACAGCAAGAGGACAGCAAGAACAACGAGGGGCUUUCUCUUCGGAUCAUCAACCAUCUUCCUGUUAGUCCACUACAAGUACAAGGAUUGUACAGGGAAAAAUAGCCGUGGAAAACUUCUGACUUCAGAAAUCAGCUAGUGAAACCAGUCCCAGCAAGCGACAGAGUUACAGUGCUUUAUCCUUGCCACCUAGACCUGUCUGUCAAGUUCUGACUGCGGACACUGAUUUGUCACAAGGCUUCGCAGUAAGUCCAUGCCAGGAAGAUUCAUGCCAGCCUUGCGUCUGUGUAUUUUCCUAUUGCAUUGCUGUCUUUUUCCUGUACUUCUACUUUUGGUCGGAUUCCUGUAGCUGCCAAAAGAAGGCAAAGCAAUGGAUUACUUCUGAAAAGUGAGGGGAAAGACAGGCUAAAAUGUAACUGGUGGCCAUAUCACCGUAAUACACUCAGAUUGUACAUUUCUUAGGGUAGGCACACUCUCCACUUUUCCUUUAGAGACUGCAUUUCAGAUACUACAGGAAAUAAAAGGAUGAUGCCAGUAAUGCACCAGUAUCACAAGCAUGCAAAUACUUCAAACAGAUCUUUGAAGGAAAAACUUUACUGCUUUGGUGUAAACAGAUGGAGAAGCAUAAGCGUGCAACCAAACGUGUAACCCCGAGUCUGCCACAUGACAUUCAUGAGAUGGUGGUACCAUCUCCCCGGCUGCGUUAGACUUUCAGGUAAGGGCACAUCUGUUUCCUAAGUCUCGUUGGUGCGUGCUGGUCCUUCUUGCAAAAGAACAAGGCAGCUUUACCCUUGACUGUUAAACGGCAAGAAAGGUAACGAGCGAAAGAGCAUUCCCUGUCCAGGCACUAUUUUACAGCUGCUUUAUUUGAACAACAAAAUGAAGAAAUUGCUUCAGUCUGAUCAGAAAGAUGACCAAAGACCUUUCCAAAAGCAUCAGACAUUAUUUUCCUUUACAUUUAUUGGUAACAGCUGUCAUUUCCUUACCCCAGUUUGCUCCAGCCAAAGGCCUUGGGGCUGUUUCAGGCAGAAGAUCUCUUUUAUUUCCAAGUGACUCCAGAGAGAAAUUUCUCCAGUUCUCACAGGGAAGUUAGGCAGCAUCAGCUGCCUGGCCUGGAGGGCUACUGAAGCCCUGUCCCAUCUGCAUCCUCCCAGAGACACAUAGACAGAUACAUUCUGAUCCUGAAAUACUUGGCUCCAUGAUCAAGCUGGCUUAUUGUCAAAGAAGGAGGUUCUUAGUGUCUCUUCAAAUAUGCGAUUGAGUUUGUCAACCCAAUCAGUUUUCCAGGAUUGAAAGGUGCAAUACAAAUAGCCAACUCCUGGCUUCCAUCCCACUCUUCGUCUUUCCAACCCCAGCAGUAGACUCGCGUUGAUUCACAGAUUGUAAGACAAAAGCCCAUAGACUGCAACGGACCCCCUCCUUCUUCAUUACACCCACAAAUUCCACUGAUCUGGAUAAUCUCUCAAUCAAGAAAGGAGGAAAUAAACCUGUGAAAUUGUAGCGAUAGGCAGUGACAUUUCCACGCAAGCCUCCAGAGUAACAGCGUAAUUGUGAAAAUGACAAAUUUCUUAGACUAAGACAAAUCGGAGCACCUAAAGAAAACCAGCGAACACCACCUUCCAUUUUUUAUUUAAAAUUAUGGUAAUAAGCUCUACUCUUUGUAGCAGGAUGCAACUGUUACUCUUUGCCAAGUUCUAUGGAAAUUUUGAAAUCCAUGUAAUAUAAGGCAGGCACUGGUAUUACAGCCUUAGAGUAAAACAAACUUGCGGCCAAGAUGUGCAGGUCUGAUUUAGUUUUGCACUGCUAUGUGUAUUUGCAGAGUUGUUAAACAACAUCCUGGGAUGCUAAAAAAAAAAAAAAAAAAAGUCAUAAUGAAAUUCGAAAUUCUGUUUCCUCAGCAGUUUUUUUUUCUGUAAUCUCAGAUUUAGUAAUUCCAGGAAAUUUUUGAUUACAUCAGCACACUAUGGUGGUCCCUCAUGCAAACAGUGAAAGCCACUCAGUUCCUCUGUGCUUAAAAUUCUCUUACCAGUAAAACUAUUUUGGUAUGAAGGGUUUUCUUUUUCUGUUUGUGAACUUAAUUACUCAGUAACUACAGUUAUGUUAGCUCAGAAACUUA